CGCCUGUGCAUACAUGAUGAGAACAAAUGAAGCAUAGGCUGGGUGAAGAAUCAAGCACUAUGUCAUCAAUCACGUAGCAAUAAGUACUGAAGGUGGAUCCACAAUGGCCAUGAAGUGGAACAUGAUGUGAUACAAUUCCCACUUGAGUGCAUGAGCGUUUCUUAAAUGCUUAUUGAAAGAUGGAAAGAACUUUGACCAAGACCAAAAAGUUAACCGCCGUAAAGACAGGUGGCCUUGUGCAAGCACUGAUGAGAAGGACUCCGCGUUAAUGGUGCCACGUACGUGAAGGUGCUUGCCCCCGUUGUAAAGCCCUGGAUGGAGACUGUUUCGAAAGGAAGACCUUAUGUCUUUCAGCAAGAUUUGGCUCCUGCCCACACCGCCUGCGUCACCCAGGAGUGACAACUUCUACGACCACGUCACUCCCAACUUGUGGCCUCCUAGUUCUCCAGAUUUAAAUCUGCUCGACUACUGUACUAUGUCUGGAGCGUCGUUGAGAGAGAGGUCAACAAACAGCCACAUAAUACAAAAGACUCACUGAAGGCCACCAUUGCCGACUCAAUGGCCAACAUCUCUAAGGACCACCUGAUCCGUGCCUGCAGCCGUUUCCGAAGCCGGAUUGAAUCGGUUAUUACUGCGGAUGGUGGAUUCAUUGAGUAAUUGCGGAAAUAAACUGUAAGAGAAGUAUUUCUCAAAGUUUGGUGAAAAUAUGCCUAUUUUUGCUGGAGAUAUUUUUCUCUGCCUGAAGCCAACAUUGUGUUCUCAAAUACCUCGCGCACCCGGUAUAUAUAACAGGAAAACGAGCAAACACAUGAGAUUCUAAUUAUACAAUGUUAGCUAGGGCAUUCUUGAAUAGGUGGUGAUUUCUGAUGGAAAUUACAUGCGGAGGAAGGCGAUUCCACUCUUCUGAUGUCUGUGGUAUGAAUGAUUGAAAAAAAGUGUCAGUUCUGCAAAAAGGAAUUCAAACUUUUUCUGUGUGAUCUAAGCUAGAUGAAACAUACAGAGAUCGGUCUUUUCAUGAAUGAAGACUUGGCAAACCAGAAAAGCCAC